UACGAAGGGGGCUAGCGUUGCUCGGAAUCACUGGGCGUAAAGCGCUCGUAGGCGGAUCGUUAAGUCAGGGGUGAAGUCCUGGAGCUCAACUCCAGAACUGCCUUUGAUACUGGGGAUCUCGAGUCCGGAAGAGGUGAGUGGAACUCCGAGUGUAGAGGUGAAAUUCGUAGAUAUUCGGAAGAACACCAGUGGCGAAGGCGGCUGACUGGUCCGGUACUGACGCUGAGGUGCGAAAGCGUGGGGAGCAAACAGG
rnacentral:rRNA from 1 species